AUUGAACGCUGGCGGCAGGCCUAACACAUGCAAGUCGAGCGAGCGGCGGACGGGUGAGUAAUGUCUGGGAAACUGCCUGAUGGAGGGGGAUAACUACUGGAAACGGUAGCUAAUACCGCAUACCAUCAGAUGUGCCCAGAUGGGAUUAGCGAGUAGGUGGGGUACCGGCUCACCUAGGCGACGAUCCCUAGCUGGUCUGAGAGGAUGACCAGCCACAAUGGAAAGGAGACACGGGCCAGAAUCCUAAGGGAGGCACCAGUGGGGAAUAUUGCACAAUGGGCGCAAGCCUGAUGCAGCCAUGCCGCGUGUGUGAAGAAGGCCUUCGGGUUGUAAAGCACUUUCAGCGGGGAGGCGUUACCCGCAGAAGAAGCACCGGCGAACUCCGUGCCAGCAGCCGCGGUAAUAC
rnacentral:rRNA from 1 species